GAUGAACGCUAGCGGCAGGCCUAACACAUGCAAGUCGAGGGGCAUCGCGGUGCAGCAAUGCACUGGCGGCGACCGGCGUACGGGUGCGUAACGCGUAUGCAACCUGCCCCGCACCGGGGGAUAGCCCGCCGAAAGGCGGAUUAAUACCCCAGUGGUCCCCGGGGGGCCCGCAUGGGCAUCCGGGUAAAGCCUUGGCGGUGCGGGAUGGGCAUGCGUGCCAUUAGCUGGCUGGUGGGGUAACGGCCCACCAGGGCAACGAUGGCUAGGGGGUCUGAGAGGAUGGUCCCCCACACUGGUACUGAGACACGGACCAGACUCCUACGGGAGGCAGCAGUGAGGAAUAUUGGUCAAUGGGCGGAAGCCUGAACCAGCCAUGCCGCGUGCGGGAUGAAGGCCCUACGGGUUGUAAACCGCUUUUCCCCGGGAAGAAUAACCCCGAUGAGUCGGGGGAUGCCGGUACCGGGGGAAUAAGGAUCGGCUAACUCCGUG
rnacentral:rRNA from 1 species